UUUCUGGCACCAAAGGUUAAUCGUGACCAUGAUUUACAGUCUGUGAAAAGUAUAGAUAGAUAAGUGUUCAGGAAGAUAAGAUUAGUAGCCUUGAAAUUCACAAGGAGACAGUGAUUUUAAAAUCCUGCGUCACUGUGCACAUUUUGAAGAUUAUGACACACAUUCCACAGAAGUGAAAACAUGUAUUUUAAAAAAGAAAAUAGUUACAAGAUUAAAUCUUAUUAAUAAAUUAUUUUUUAAAAUUCAAAAGUAUGGAAGAAAUGAAACAUAGCACCUGCAAAGGCAGCUUCGGGGUUUUAAAUGGGGCGUGUAUGGGAUUCAGCUACUGCUGAGUACUAGUUAUAGAUCUUAAUUCUUAUUCGCUUACCCGCUGGCAGGAACACUCAUGCAGCAUGCGGGAAACCUGGCCUGUAAACUGUCCUCAGCCGCAGGGAUUUACAUUCAUCUUUUUCACCUCUGAGGAAAAGGAGUGCUAUGAUUAGCACACUCUGCGCCAGCCAGGCCCAUGGAUGAUGCUGGGCACUGUGCUGCCAAGCGCACAAACGCUGGGACCAAAGAGUAAGCAAGACUUUUGUAGCAUAAUGCUACUGCCCGUAGCUGGAGGGGGACAAGAUGACAUGUGUGUAGCUGUGAACCAUCAGAUGUCAGGCAUGCCUAUUUUACCCAUUAGGUGCGGUUACACAUGUGAUUUAUUUCCUUCCUUGCUCUCCAGUUCUGAAAAUAUGUAAAAUCCCACACUCCGAAAUUCAUUAAAAUACCAUAUUCUUUACUGCUAUUUAUAGGCUUUAACAAAAUCCAGACUGCUUUUUCAGGAAAGGAGAAACUUGAGAGCAAACACUCUGGGAAUCCAAGAGAGUUCCAGCAAUGAAAAUAAACGCUUCAAGCAUCUUAAUGGCACCUUGAAAGUGGAGGGGAAAAGAAAGUCUUUAGCUGGAAUGAUACCCCCCCAAACAUUUAAUCCUGAGGACCCUUUCUGAGGAUUUCUAAUGGAGGAAACUGAGAAGGAAUCACAGCUGGAGGAAACCAGACUACUGCAUGAGGGAGGGAAAUGGAUGACAGAUGAAGAAAGAGCAAUUUUCAUGACUUGUCAAUAUCAGGUCACCCAUCCAUGUCCUUAGGAAGACUUAAUGAAUGAAAGGGGAACCAGCCUGGACUCACGCUUCUGUUUCAAUGGUCGGAUGCUUUAAAUCACCAAAAAGCUGAAAAGAUGGAAGUUAGUGGCAGGGGGAAAAAUCCCAAACCAAAUGCAACAACCUCAUUUAGUUUAAUUCAGCGAACUAGAAAGGAGAACAAAGAAGAAAAUACUGCCUUCCUGAAUCUGCGGUGUUUUUUCCUUCAACUCACAGAAAGUUUGAAUUACCUUCAUCAAAGAUAUCCUUUUUGAAAUAUGCAUCAUGGGUCUUCUAGUAGUAAUGGAUUGGGAACAGGUGACCUCCCUUUGGCAAAGUGUCACUUCCUAAAGAAGGUCAACAUUUCUAUUCAAACUCUUACAUUAUUGGAUAUCCAUUCUGUGCGGCCGUGACUAUGGGAAAAAGGAAGAGAGCUGCGUUCAGAAGAUUAGAGGUCCAAACUAAAAGCUGGUGUCAAAAAGGAUGAGAUGGAAGAUGAGGAAGAAGAAAACAUAGAAAUGCCCCUACAGGAAAUAUCGAUGAAGUGUAUCUAGUGUGUUUUUAUUCAGAAUACUUUCCUCUUAUGCAAAAUUUCAAUAGAAUUUAGUAGAAAAAUUUAUCUAUCUGCAAUCUGGAGUUUAUAGUAAUGCAGGUGAAAGAAAAGAGCCAGCGCUGGAAGGAAGAGCUCUCUUGACACUGAACAGAACAGACGUGGCUGUCCGAGGAGUAGCCAUCCUGUCUGCAUGCCUGUCCAAAAUGGGAAUUGUGCACGAGUGGGAGAGGACUGAAUUCUUGGCAGCAUGUCAUGGAUGGGAUCAACAUGGCGAGACGACAUCAUCCUGUUUCGCUAAACCUGCUUUUGAAGGAUCUUGGAGACUGAAAUGGAGAAGUGGUGGAAGCAGGAGCCUGACUGGAAAAAUCUGUCUGAGGAAAUGAGCUGUAAGGGAGAGAAGACAGUUUAACGUGCCGUCACAGCAAGAGCAUUCCUGCGGCGGCCAGGACAUGACCGUUGCUGCAUCGCGGGAGCAGCGGGGAGGAAAUGUGGAGAGGACAGGGGGGCUGAUGAGGGCCAAGCUGUCAUCGUUCAGGCUUUAGCAGAUACAUAUGCUGUUGGAGCGAUCUUUGUCACGCUGCGCUAGUCCAGGUGGAAAAUGUAGCCUGCUAGGCUUGAUUCUCCUCCCACUUAUCCACCAUUUAUUUAUACUAGUCUAAUUCUACUGAAUGAUGAAACAAGACCAAAACCACUUCUGCCAGUUUCAUGGACCUUUUUGCUCCCUCUGAACCAAUGUGAACGUGUAAACAAGGAGCAGAGCAAUAACAUGGCAAGGUCCGUGAUAGCCCAAAACUUCUAUCAAUGAGAGAAAAAAUGAGUCUCAGUCACUAGAUACAGAGCUCAGGCUAACAAGAAUGCUGCAUCCCAAAAGCAUAUGUAAGCAUGAGAGCCAGCAGGAGCCAUGCCCAACGUUUUGGGUUCACGGGGUUGUUUGGUUUUGUUUACCUACCCCAAUUUCUGUUAAAGUCAAGCCACUUCGAUUCAAGGUUAUUUUUGUCAUCAUUUUUCACAAUCAAGGUAAUCGUUCUGCUCUGUUCCAGCUCUGGCUUUUCUUCUAAUUGACAGCAGAGCCCUAUCGUUCGCAGAAACACUAUUCACCAUGUAAUCAAAUGAUUGUCUUUAUCGCCUAGCUCGGCCUUCAUUGUCAGUAUCCAUUUAUCCUGUUGACAGUAUCCGUACGUCUCUUCUGCCUUCCAGCAAUCUAUGUGCCAGGAAAGCUAGAAGACUUCAGAAGGGAAGGAAAGGUAGAGGACGGGAUCUAAGCUGACUCACUUUUUACUGAACUAAGAGUAGUUGUCGCCUUUGCCCCACAUGGCUAGGCUGCUGGCUCUCAGUGCAUCAGGAGCGGCGAGACACACACAGUUUGCUGCUAGGAGCUGUAGAGAAGGAAAAAAAUCUCGGCAGCAGCAAGGUCAGUGCCCUCAGUGCUUCCCUUCACACCCCAGAGGCCAAACCUAAACAAACGGUCGCGUCUCAGUCCCCCUUGUGUAACCUUAAAUUCAAAACCUGCCCCUACCCCGUAUAUCUGGUAACAACCAUAAGUCAGCGGAACUGAGCCACAGCAGUUCUCCAGGGGUUAGUGCUGAGGAACACAGUCAUUUCACUGCGUGUUUUUUGAGAGACAGCAGCUUGUUUCUCUUUUAGCCAUCCCUAGGCGGGGAAUCAUUUCCUGUUUAGAAUGCAGGAUUUAUUACUAGAUUGCUCAUUUCUCGGGGACUAUGGUGGUAGUGGGGUUGUACAACAGACAACAACUGAGAACUGAAUCAUUUAUUCCUCUGGAAACUGUUGGCUAACAUUUUCAGUGGUGUUUAAUGGUUGAAUGUCCCCUUUUUUUUUUUCUCCCCUCAGUUCCUGGUUUUGUGACACUUCAGAGAAGCUGAUUUUCUAGAAAUUGUCAAGCUUUAAAAAUCAGUGCCCUUGACAAUCUGUGGACUUUCAUUUUCAAUAACAUAGUAAAUAAUGCUCCAUUUGUAACUAACCCACUUACUCAUCAGUUUGCUUUGCUUUAGCUGCCAAGUGGUGUUGUCACACUCUCAUCACAUCCAGGUAUCAGUGUACUGGUUACCGGGCUGAGGCAGCAGCAGCAAAGAGUCUGGUCACAAAUGCAACUGUUUUAUUCACCUGAACUGUAUGUACACAAAGGUUCAGUCUAGGCUCACACAAGCGAAGGACUACAGAGAGUGCCUAUACCCUCAGACUGCUAAACAGAGGGAAGUGGUCAGAGUAAUUCACUGGGACCAUGGACCCGAAUGGGGAGAAGUGCUUGCAAUGUCUUAGGAGUGUUGUAUAUCAAAAGUGCUUAUAUGAGCAGAAACGUGGAUCCCAAGCAAUGGGAAAAAUCAUAGGAAGAGGCUCCAUACCUAAAUGGAUAAAUAAGCACCUAAACCGGGUAUAUGGGAAUUAGGAGAUGUGAUGUUUAGAUGAGCUUUUUUAGAACAAAGCCAUCUCCCUUCCUCCCUAACGUCACUGAGGACUGAGGAGCCUAGAGUGAUUAUUCUCCUAAGAAAAAUCAAGUAUUCUGCAUGAGAACGAUUCUACCUUCAGCCCUUUGCUGUGUGCCAAUUUUGAGCAUGACUGAGAGGUUUCUAUCAAAGGUAAAUGACAUUUCAGUGUGUCAAUGAUUCUUCUACGCCUAGUGUGAUCAGCCGGCCUGCACUAAUUCAGAUUUCCUUAGACUUCAGCAUGGGGCCCAUUCUGCCCCUGUUUUAAUGAUGAGCCUGCUUCUGCAAAGUGCCAAGUAUGCUCGGUUCCCAGGAGUUCGCAGAAAGAGUUGGUGGCAGUCAGUACCUCAUAGGGCUGUGCCUGUGCUCAGCACUUUGCAAAUGAAUGGAAUGGAAUUGAAUUUGCCAGCUUUUAAAAGAAUACAUUACAGAGAAUCAUCCCUUUCCAGGAUGUAAUUUGGAAACAAAUUCUAAAGGAAAACCAAGCACAUUAACUAUAAAGCUGUCCUCCUAUCCUUCCAAGAUUGCCCAGCAGAUCCACGCUAUGCUGUAUUACUGUGGUGGGAUUUGGAAAGGAAAGCUUGACUGAAAAAACAAUAUACAGUCCUCCGUUACAAAGGACAGCAAAAGUCCUCAGCCACGGCUGCUACAAGGACCUUGCUGAUCUCUUCCUUGUCCUCUCGACCAGACAUCAGUGGGGCAAAUUUGUUGCAGGUGCAGCUACUCUGAGUCCACCGAGAGAGAAAGCUUUAGUCAGAUGAAGUUUUUGUGGGGAUGUGGUAUUCAUCAGACUCUUAAACCACCAUGGACUCUUCCAGGAGCAAACUUGCAGUCGUGAUUCAGGGCCUCUACAUUCCUCUCCAGAGUUACAGGUGCGCUUUGAGGCUGAUCGUUACAGAAGGACUGAUACUCACAGAAGAUUUCUUGCCCAUCUUUCCUGAGGAAUUCAUUCCUUGCAGGCUGGAGAGGGCUUCGCUCUUUUGGGUUUGGAACCCACUAUUUAUGUGAAUAUGAGGGAGGAAGGGAGGUGAAACUGAAACAGAGUGGCCCGUGUAUUCCAGAAGUGAUUUUUCAUAUAAUUGGAAGUGUUCCAGUGCUUUGUGAAAAUUUUAAAUACAGCUGAAAAUUAGGCACUAAGAGGGAUUUGUAGCCUUUUUUCAUCCAUUUCAUUUGAAAUGACAGUUUCGGGAGGCACACACUCUCUAUGCAGCCUUAAUGGUUGAAGCUGUUAAGAAAAAACCAGCAAACAAAAAUCCAGCUCCCCACCCCUUUGGAGCUACCAAUACAUUCAAGAAGAACCUAGAAAUUCUAAGCCCUUUAAACAGAAGAGAACCUGCAAACAGAGCAAAAAUGUUAUAAUGAGUCCCAUCCCCUCCUUCUGUCCUUCCCUGUUUGGCUUUAAAAUUGCAUUACUGUUUUCCUCUUUGCACUUCCGAGGAGAAAGUCAAACAUUUUUCUUCAAACUCUGAAGACACUUGGACAAGUAUGUAAUCUUCCAUGUUCAAAUGAAGUUGUUAGGCUAAAAAAGAGCAUACAGUGCUAUCAAAAGCACUUUAGUAAGCAGAAGGGGAAAACUGUGAAAGGUGGGUUUUUUUCCCAUCGUGAUAUUUCAGUAAGAUAACUCCUGAAACAUCAUUUGUAGGAGAUAAUAGGUAAUAAAGAGUCUUUGAACAAAAGUGAGCAAAUUAGAGCAUGUUCUUUUUGCAAAGGCUGCUUUUGUCUGAAAUGUUCUCUUCUACCACUGUCACAAGCAUCACAGCAAGAGACUAGCACAAAAAGU